rnacentral:rRNA from 1 species
GAUUAGAUACCCCACUAUGCUUUGCCAUAAACAUUGAUAGUCCCCUACAACCACUAUCCGCCCGGGAACUACGAGCAGCAGCUUAAAACCCAAAGGACUUGGCGGUGCUUUAGAUCCACCUAGAGGAGCCUGUUCUAAAACCGAUAACCCCCGUUCAACCUCACCUUUCCUUGUUCUCCCCGCCUAUAUACCGCCGUCGUCAGCUUACCCUAUGAAGGCCCCUUAGUAAGCAUAAUUGGCACAGCCCAAAACGUCAGGUCGAGGUGUAGCGUAUGGAAAGGGAAGAAAUGGGCUACAUUACCUACUGUAGGUAAUUACGAAUAAUAUUACUGAAACGUAUAUCUAGAAGGAGGAUUUAGCAGUAAGCAGAAAAUAGAGUGUUCUGCUGAAACCGGCCCUGAAGCGCGCACACACCGCCCGUCAC